rnacentral:rRNA from 1 species
AUUGAACGCUGGCGGCAUGCCUUACACAUGCAAGUCGAACGGUAACAGGUCUCCGGAUGCUGACGAGUGGCGAACGGGUGAGUAAUACAUCGGAACGUGCCUAGUAGUGGGGGAUAACUACUCGAAAGAGUGGCUAAUACCGCAUGAGGUCUACGGAUGAAAGCAGGGGAUCGCAAGACCUUGUGCUACUAGAGCGGCCGAUGGCAGAUUAGGUAGUUGGUGGGAUAAAAGCUUACCAAGCCGACGAUCUGUAGCUGGUCUGAGAGGACGAUCAGCCACACUGGGACUGAGACACGGCCCAGGCUCCUACGGGAGGCAGCAGUGGGGAAUUUUGGACAAUGGGCGAAAGCCUGAUCCAGCAAUGCCGCGUGCAGGAUGAAGGCCUUCGGGUUGUAAACUGCUUUUGUACGGAACGAAAAGCCCCGGGUUAAUACCCUGGGGUCAUGACGGUACCGUAAGAAUAAGCACCGGCUAACUACGUGCCAGCCGCCGCCGUAA